GCAAACUUGGUCAUUUAGAGGAAGUAAAAGUCGUAACAAGGUUUCCGUAGGUGAACCUGCGGAAGGAUCAUUAUUGAAGUUUGAAUCGGGUUGUCGCUGGCUUCUAGAAGCAUGUGCACGCCUGUUCAUCCCUCUUAUUCCCUUGUGCAUAUCUAGCUAGACUAUGGAUACACCUCGAGUGAAUCAAAAGCUCGGAUUUGUAGGGUUGGACCUAAUUGGUUGCUUCCCUUGCAUUUUCAUAGUCUAUGCCCCUUUAUAUACCCCUUUGUAUGAUUCUGAAUGUGUUUUGUGGGUUUUUAUGACCUAUAAAUAUCAAUACAACUUUCAACAACGGAUCUCUAGGCUCUCGCAUCGAUGAAGAACGCAGC
rnacentral:misc_RNA from 1 species